GGGGUGCUCAGUGGUAGAGUGUGUGCUUAGCAUGUACAGGUCCUGGGUUCAACCCCCAGUACUCCA
rnacentral:tRNA from 1 species